UACGAAGGGGGCUAGCGUUGUUCGGAAUUACUGGGCGUAAAGCGCGUGUAGGCGGGUCUUAAGUCAGGGGUGAAAUGCCAAGGCUCAACCUUGGAACUGCCUUUGAUACUGGAGAUCUUGAGUCCGGGGAGAGGGGCGUGGAAUUCCGGGUGGUAGUGGUGAAAUGCGUAGAGAUCCGGAGGAACCCCAGAGGCGAAGGCGACGCCCUGGCUCGUACCUGACGCUCAGCCACGAAAGCAUGGG
rnacentral:rRNA from 1 species